rnacentral:rRNA from 1 species
UACGUAGGGUGCGAGCGUUGUCCGGAAUUAUUGGGCGUAAAGAGCUCGUAGGCGGCCUGUCGCGUCGGAUGUGAAAGCCCACUGCUUAACGGUGGGUCUGCUUCCGGUACGGGCGGGCUGGAGUAUGGCAGGGGAGACUGGAAUUCCUGGUGUAGCGGUGGAAUGCGCAGAUAUCAGGAGGAACACCGGUGGCGAAGGCGGGUCUCUGGGCCAUUACUGACGCUGAGGAGCGAAAGCGUGGGGAGCGAACAGG